rnacentral:rRNA from 1 species
UACAGAGGGGGCAAGCGUUGUUCGGAGUUACUGGGCGUAAAGGGCGCGUAGGCGGCCUGCUAAGUCGAACGUGAAAUCCCUCGGCUCAACCAAGGAAGUGCUUUCGAAACUGCUGAGCUUGAGUACGAAAGAGGAUCGCGGAAUUCCCGGUGUAGAGGUGAAAUUCGUAGAUAUCGGGAGGAACACCAGUGGCGAAGGCGGCGAUCUGGGUCGAUACUGACGCUGAGGCACGAAAGCGUGGGGAGCAAACAGG